rnacentral:lncRNA from 1 species
CUCAGGGUUUCCUGCUGGCCUACAUAUUCAAUAAAUGAACCACCCUUUGCAUUGGCUUGCUUGUUACUGGAAUUACUCUCAGCAAAAAUGUUCAGUUUUUAUGUGUAGGCAAGCUGUGUACUAGGGAGAGAUGAGAAAAGUAUCAUCAUUAAGAUAAGAAAAAAGGGCAAAGCCAAGGAGGUAAGGAGAGUUUGCUGUGAGGAAGUGAGACUGCCAACAUCUGAAAGAAAUCCUUGCCAGUAAAGAUGAUGAGGAAAUAGAGAUCUAGCAAGGAAACUGCUAAAAGAGAGGGGCUGAAGGACUUUGUAGAGAUAGGAGACCAAGGCUGGAGAAUGGAAAAUAAAAUUUCCCAUGUGUUGUGGCAGGACAUGACAGCAAGUCACUGAACAAUUCCAACUGGAGAUAACCUCAAGUCAGUCACUAACCCUGGGGUCUGGAGCUUUUUGGAUACAUUUGGUGUCAUUGUCAUAGCUGUGGGAUCCACAGCCUUGUCUCUGUGUUAUCUAAAUUUCUGGAUAAAGACUAAAAGUGAGUUUGAACUGUCUACAGGAAAGAACAGCCUCAGAUAAUUCCCAGGACUGUUUUCCUUGUAACACCCUGCUCUGAGAGAGAUCUCUCAUGCAAAUCAGGGGAACUCCAUUUUGAACUGCUGAUUAAAUAUUACAAACUGCUUCUAGAGGCUUCAUAUCCAAGAUCUGGAAAUAACCACUGCUCCUGUAUGUACCUUUAUGCCCUUUGAAU